UCGAGCGAACAGACGAGGAGCUUGCUCCUCUGACGUUAGCGGCGGACGGGUGAGUAACACGUGGGUAACCUACCUAUAAGACUGGGAUAACUUCGGGAAACCGGAGCUAAUACCGGAUAAUAUGUUGAACCGCAUGGUUCAAUAGUGAAAGACGGUUUUGCUGUCACUUAUAGAUGGACCCGCGCCGUAUUAGCUAGUUGGUGAGGUAACGGCUUACCAAGGCAACGAUACGUAGCCGACCUGAGAGGGUGAUCGGCCACACUGGAACUGAGACACGGUCCAGACUCCUACGGGAGGCAGCAGUAGGGAAUCUUCCGCAAUGGGCGAAAGCCUGACGGAGCAACGCCGCGUGAGUGAUGAAGGUCUUCGGAUCGUAAAACUCUGUUAUUAGGGAAGAACAAAUGUGUAAGUAACUGUGCACCCCUUGACGGUACCUAAUCAGAAAGCCACGGCUAACUACGUGCCAGCAGCCGCGGUAAUACGUAGGUGGCAAGCGUUAUCCGGAAUUAUUGGGCGUAAAGCGCGCGUAGGCGGUUUUUUAAGUCUGAUGUGAAAGCCCACGGCUCAACCGUGGAGGGUCAUUGGAAACUGGAAAACUUGAGUGCAGAAGAGGAAAGUGGAAUUCCAUGUGUAGCGGUGAAAUGCGCAGAGAUAUGGAGGAACACCAGUGGCGAAGGCGACUUUCUGGUCUGUAACUGACGCUGAUGUGCGAAAGCGUGGGGAUCAAACAGGAUUAGAUACCCUGGUAGUCCACGCCGUAAACGAUGAGUGCUAAGUGUUAGGGGGUUUCCGCCCCUUAGUGCUGCAGCUAACGCAUUUAGCACUCCGCCUGGGGAGUACGACCGCAAGGUUGAAACUCAAAGGAAUUGACGGGCACCCGCACAAGCGGUGGAGCAUGUGGUUUAAUUCGAAGCACCGCGAAGAACCUUACCAAAUCUUGACAUCCUUUGACAACUCUAGAGAUAGAGCCUUCCCCUUCGGGGGACAAAGUGACAGGUGGUGCAUGGUUGUCGUCACCUCGUGUCGGGAGAUGUUGGGUUAAGUCCCGCAACGAGCCCCACCCUUAAGCUUAGUUGCCAUCAUUUAAGUGGGCCCUCUAAGUUGACUGCCGGUGACAAACCGAAGGGAGGGGGGGAUGACCUCAAAUC
rnacentral:rRNA from 1 species